GUAAAAGACAGCCUCCAGGCCCCAAGUUCAAGUUCUAGAGCAAGCACAAAAAAUAAAUAUAUAAAUAAAUGAAAACAAUCAAAUAAAAAAUGCUAUCUAAUUGACUUGUUAGGUCAUAAGUCCAUCACAUUGCCAUAGAUCUGUGGACAGCUUAGAUCUGUGAAGAGACUUCUGGGUACAGUGAGCCCUCCUCUGUAUACAGAAACACAGAAUGAUCCUGACCAAUGUAUGCUGGCAGGCAACCUUCAGGCAGGGAGCUGAGAAGAGCUUCUCAUAAAGAGAACUUGAGACAGCCAAAAGGACUCCACUUCCCAGUUGUAAAUGGAACUUUGGAUCAAUGACAGGAUAGGAAGUAGAAGGGAAUGGGGAAGGUUUGGAAAGGAAUGUGAAGGAAGAGAAAGGCUAAGAACCAGAAGAAAAGAAGAGUGGAAACCCAAGACUGGAAGGAAGCAGAGAAGACAGGGCAGAGCAUUUUAGCUACCUUUUGAGGUUCAUGGACCUCAAAUACCUGUAGAC